GAUGAAGAACGUAGCGAAAUGCGAUAAGUAAUGUGAAUUGCAGAAUUCAGUGAAUCAUCGAAUCUUUGAACGCACAUUGCGCCCGCCAGUAUUCUGGCGGGCAUGCCUGUUCGAGCGUCAUUUCAACCAUCAAGCCCCCGGCUUGUGUUGGGGACCUGCGGCUGCCCGCAGGCCCUGAAAACCAGUGGCGGUCUAGCUGUCACACCGAGCGUAGUAAGCAUUAUCUCGCUCAGGGCGUGCUGCGGGUUCCGGCCGUUAAAUGAAAAGCCUUCGUAGCCCAAGGUUGACCUCGGAUCAGGUAGGAAGACCCGCUGAACUUAAGCAUAUCAAUAAGCGGAGGA
rnacentral:misc_RNA from 1 species